UUCAAAAAGUAAAGUGAAGGACACUGCACUAAACAGAUACAACUAGAGAAAAAACAUUCAAGAGGGAGCUGGUCAACACAAAACAGAUCUCCAACGUGCCACAAAGGACAAGGGGCAGCUACGCAAGGAGAGACAACACCAAAAAGGCCCAACCACCACUCACCCCUACCCACACUGCACCAACAUAUGUGGCUGCCGGAUUGGCCUCUACAGCCACCUGAAGACCCACAAAUAGAAGACCUCAUUGAGGACAGUCAUACUCGACUCGAGUGAUCGCCGAUGAUGAUGAUAAUAAUCAUUUGACUAUGUAGUUUUGGUGCUCUUGCAGUGGUUGUAUGAAGCUGCCGGUCUUGGUGGUUGUCUCACUGCUGCCUGUGCCCAGGCUGCAGACCCCCCUGCACGCAGCCUCCGGGACAUACUGUAGUGAGGAAGAGCUCCCUGAGACGGAAGGUGUCCCUCUUGAACCCAGUACUGGAAGGUAGGGUCCCCCCCACUGAACAGUAUAGGUCCAGUCCAGGCCCCACUGACCCCUCCUGAGUUUGAGGACGAACAGAAGCCUGCUACAUUCAUGUUCGGGGACAAUGUCAGGGGGUGGCAGGUAGCCUAGUGGUUAGAGUGUUGGACCAAAGACUCAGUCGGAACGUGCCCCGGAGUGGGCAUCUACAUGGAGAAGAACAAGUAUGGCUUGGGGAGGUGGUCCCUCAGUUCGAGGCCUUCUUCCUGCCCUGGGAGGGCGAUGAGUGCUGGUACAAGAGCUACCAGGUCCUGACCAUCAACAGGGACGCCUACAGCCAGCACAUCUC
rnacentral:lncRNA from 1 species